rnacentral:rRNA from 1 species
AUACGGAGGGGGCUAGCGUUGUUCGGAAUUACUGGGCGUAAAGGGCGCGUAGGCGGACUAUCAAGUCAGGGGUGAAAGGCCUGGGCUCAACCCGGGAAUUGCCUUUGAAACUGAAAGUCUAGAGACCGAGAGAGGAUAGCGGAAUUCCCAGUGUAGAGGUGAAAUUCGUAGAUAUUGGGAAGAACACCAGUGGCGAAGGCGGCUAUCUGGCUCGGUACUGACGCUGAGGCGCGAAAGCGUGGGGAGCAAACAGGAUUAGAUACCCCAGUAGUCC